GACGAACGCUGGCGGCGUGCUUAACACAUGCAAGUCGAACGAAGAGCGAUGGAAGCUUGCUUCUAUCAAUCUUAGUGGCGAACGGGUGAGUAACGCGUAAUCAACCUGCCCUUCAGAGGGGGACAACAGUUGGAAACGACUGCUAAUACCGCAUACGAUCCAAUCUCGGCAUCGGGACUGGAUGAAAGGUGGCCUCUAUUUAUAAGCUAUCACUGAAGGAGGGGAUUGCGUCUGAUUAGCUAGUUGGAGGGGUAACGGCCCACCAAGGCGAUGAUCAGUAGCCGGUCUGAGAGGAUGAACGGCCACAUUGGGACUGAGACACGGCCCAGACUCCUACGGGAGGCAGCAGUGGGGAAUCUUCCGCAAUGGACGAGAGUCUGACGGAGCAACGCCGCGUGAGUGAUGACGGCCUUCGGGUUGUAAAGCUCUGUUAAUCGGGACGAAUGGUUCUUGUGCGAAUAGUGCGAGGAUUUGACGGUACCGGAAUAGAAAGCCACGGCUAACUACGUG
rnacentral:rRNA from 1 species